AGUCACUGUUUGCUGUUGUUUUGGCGCAAAUAAUUUGUCUACAGCGAAGUAAUUGUGUGCAUUAGUUUCUUAUUCCACUUGAAAGCAAUGGGAAGAAUUAAGAAGUUUGGUGCUAAACAACGUAACUUUUAUGGAAAUCGCUUAACCGAAUGGAUUAACUCUGUUAAUACUGAAAUACAACGUGAUACAACACUUCAGUCAGUUUCAACUACUCAAAGUGCUUCAAAGCUAAAACUGAAAUAUGUGGGCAGUGGGCUUGACAGUAUUAAUGCUGAUAAUAUAGAGACGCAAACUGUUGGCUCAGGUUGUUUGUGUUGAUAUCUGAACUAAUAAAAAAGCUCUCUGGUGGUGUAAGGAAUGUGGCAAUAGUGGUGUGAAGGUAGUUGAGGAGACACAUGCUAGAAGAGGAAGUGCAUCGAAAUGAAGAAUUCUUUGUGAUUUACGCGAAUGUGAUUGUACUUGUGGCGUAACUAAACGGAGAGUGUAUAACACAAACAUUAAACUUGCUUAUUCCAUGAGAUGCUCAAAUUUUCUGUGCUCUUAUGGACUUCUCUCUGCCUAAAAGGCUUGACAGGUGCAAUAAAAUUAUUCUAUAGACUUUAGAAGAAGUAGCAAAUGAUAGUAUGAAAUACGCUGUUUAGGGAAGUGUAGACAUGAAUGAAGCAAUAGAUGUAUGUCUGCAGCCCUGGAUGCAUCCUGGCAGGGAAGCGGUCAUAGUUUGCUAAAUGGUGUAGUGACAGCUACCUCCUUGGGGAAUGAUUAAGUCAUUGAUGUGGAAAGUAUUAGCAAGUACUGUGAGGCUUUACUAGUGGAACUGGAAACCAUAAAUGUUUGAUUGGCUUUAGUGGUUAUAGUGGAGGGAUGGAAUCUAAAGGUUUUGUGGUGACAUUUCACAGGUCAGUGGAGAAACAUGGUGUGAUGUAUACAUUUUCCUAGGAGAUGGAGAUUCAAAAGGAUACAAAAAAGUUUGUGAAUCCAUCCUAAUGCCGACACAAAAAUUUAAGUAAUGGAAUGUGUGGGAUAUGUCCAGAAAAGGGCAGGUACAAGUGUGAGGAACUUGAAGAGUAAUUUGAAGUGAAAGAAUUUAGCUGAUGUAAGUGCAUUAGUGGAUGUGGUUGGCCCAACAGACAGGUUGCAGUAUUAUUAUGGACAAACCACAAGACAAAAUAAAAAUGACCUUGAGGAAUGAAAAGGCAGUAUGGGCUUCUUUCACAAAUGGUCCACAGAUGACAACCCAUGUCAUGCACUCUGCCUACCAGCCAGUGUUUCAACGUGUGGCUACCAGAGGGCUGUUAGUCAAGGUAUGACCUACAACCAUAAACAUUCUUUCUUCUUUGCCAUUUGCUAUAAUGGAAGUUAUAAAACCUGUACAUCGGGAUCUUAGUGACACAAGAUUAUUAGAGAAAUGUUUGUAUGUGACAGUGCAGUGUCAAAGCUCAAUGUUAUGGAACUGAUGGGAGUGCCUAGUGGAUGCAUAGAGCUCUAGUAGCUAUUAAUCAAAGGACACUCUUUGAAGCAGAAAAAUCAGUGUUGGAAGCCACCAAAUAACCUAGAAUAAGAAGGAUAGGUGUGAAAAGAAGGGAGGAAGAACAACAUGGGACACAAGAUGAAUAUUGACCUGGGAUACAUUAGUGUCAUGCAAGUUUAAUAGAAAUAGCAAGUUUAACUUUAACUUGAAUUUCCUGAAAGUUAAAUUAAUUCGUGUUUAUUUUUUUAUUUACUCAUAAAGUUCUGUAGGACCAAAUAGAGGAGCAAAUCUCCAAGGUCAUGGAACAUGGUACAUGAAAUUACAACACAACGUAAUAACAGAUAAAAAUAAAUGUUCGUGAACCUUAAAUAAGUUAGUCCAUAAGUUUAAGUAAACGCUAUCAGCAAUACAAUAAAAAUAAGCUUAAUUUUUCAAGGAACUCCUCAACGGAAUAGGAGGAGUGACCCAUGAGGAAACUCUUCAGUUUCGAUUUGAAAGUGCAUGAAUUAAUGCUAAGAUUUUUUAAUUCGAGUUUCGUGUGGCAGCUUAUUGAAAAUGGGUGCAGCAGUAUACUGCACACCUUUUUGCACAAGAGUUAAGGAAGUCCGAUCCAAAUGCAGGUUUGAUUUCUGCAGAGUAUUAACUAAGUGAAAGCUGCUAUCUUAACACCUAGAAAUUUGAGUGUGUUUAUACCUGCCUAAGAGAUGGAUGUUACCAACUGAGGGUUAAAAAUAGAGCGCUGAAAUUUUGUAUACUGUCUUAAAACAUGCUUAACUAAAAAGUAGACUACUCUUGUGAUUUAACUUUGAAAAUAAAAUGCUUUUUUGAAGAAAAA